CUUAACGUCACGAGCGAUCCGUUUAUGCUACGCGAUCAUCGAUGCACAAUUAAAACAUGCGUGUUUAUCGGCCGUUUUCAAACGCGCUGUAAAAUACCCCAUCCAGCUGAACGUUCAACGUAACAACCGAUAGGAGGCGAUAACGCGUGUCUCGAGUACGUAUAAUUUUCGUCCCUUUCCUAUAAUCAUCGCGCACACGAAAAACUGUCUCCGUGGUU